rnacentral:rRNA from 1 species
ACACGGAGGAUGCGAGCGCUAUCCGGAUUUAUUGGGUUUAAAGGGAGCGUAGGUGGGAUAUUAAGUCAGCUGUGAAAGUUUGGGGCUCAACCUUAAAAUUGCAGUUGAUACUGGUUUCCUUGAGUACGGUAUAGGUGGGCGGAAUUCGUGGUGUAGGGGUGAAAUGCUUAGAUAUCACGAAGAACUCCGAUCGCGAAGGCAGCUCACCGGGCCGGAACUGACACUGAUGCUCGAAAGUGCGGGUAUCAAACAGGAUUAGAUACCCUGGUAGUCCGCACAGUAAACGAUGAAUACUCGCUGUUUGCGAUAUACAGUAAGCGGCCAAGCGAAAGCAUUAAGUAUUCCACCUGGGGAGUACGCCGGCAACGGUGAAACUCAAAGGAAUUGACGGGG